rnacentral:rRNA from 1 species
UGGAAGUAAAAAUCGUAACAAGGUCUCCGUUGGUGAACCAGCGGAGGGAUCAUUACCGAGUUUACAACUCCCAAACCCCUGUGAACAUACCAAUUGUUGCCUCGGCGGAUCAGCCCGCUCCCGGUAAAACGGGACGGCCCGCCAGAGGACCCCUAAACUCUGUUUCUAUAUGUAACUUCUGAGUAAAACCAUAAAUAAAUCAAAACUUUCAACAACGGAUCUCUUGGUUCUGGCAUCGAUGAAGAACGCAGCAAAAUGCGAUAAGUAAUGUGAAUUGCAGAAUUCAGUGAAUCAUCGAAUCUUUGAACGCACAUUGCGCCCGCCAGUAUUCUGGCGGGCAUGCCUGUUCGAGCGUCAUUUCAACCCUCAAGCCCAGCUUGGUGUUGGGACUCGCGAGUCAAAUCGCGUUCCCCAAAUUGAUUGGCGGUCACGUCGAGCUUCCAUAGCGUAGUAGUAAAACCCUCGUUACUGGUAAUCGUCGCGGCCACGCCGUUAAACCCCAACUUCUGAAUGUUGACCUCGGAUCAGGUAGGAAUACCCGCUGAACUUAAGCAUAUCAUAGGCC